UGUUUUUGGUGAAAGUAGUUUUGGUCAAAGUGAUUUUUCUGUACGUGUGAGAACUCAAUUCUGAGUUAACAGAGGGGGUAGCGAGUGAGUAUAGCUAUUAUCAUUGGCACACAU
rnacentral:sRNA from 19 species